GUUUUCAUAGCUCAGUUGGUUAGAGCAUCCAUUUAAUAAGCGAGAGGUCUUAAGUUCAAUUCUCAAUGAAAGUA
rnacentral:tRNA from 1 species